AUACAACUGACGAGUCGCAAGUCGGACGAAACGCGCUUCCUGGAU
rnacentral:hammerhead_ribozyme from 1 species